rnacentral:rRNA from 1 species
CAGCCGCCGCGGUAAUACGAAGGGCGCAAGCGUUGUCCGGAAUUAUUGGGCGUAAAGAGCUCGUAGGCGGUCUGUCGCGUCUGGUGUGAAAUCCCGAGGCUCAACCUCGGGCUUGCAUCGGGUACGGGCAGACUAGAGUGCGGUAGGGGAGACUGGAAUUCCUGGUGUAGCGGUGGAAUGCGCAGAUAUCAGGAGGAACACCGAUGGCGAAGGCAGGUCUCUGGGCCGCAACUGACGCUGAGGAGCGAAAGCAUGGGGAGCGAACAGGAUUAGAUACCCCCGUAGUCCCUGUCUCUUAUAC